rnacentral:rRNA from 1 species
CCUACGGGAGGCAGCAGUGGGGAAUAUUGCACAAUGGGGGAAACCCUGAUGCAGCGACGCCGCGUGAAGGAAGAAGUAUUUCGGUAUGUAAACUUCUAUCAGCAGGGAAGAAAAUGACGGUACCUGACUAAGAAGCCCCGGCUAACUACGUGCCAGCAGCCGCGGUCAUACGUAGGGGGCAAUCGUUAUCCGGAUUUACUGGGUGUAAAGGGAGCGGAGGCGGGGAUGCAAGUCAGAAGUGAAAGCCCGGGGCACAACUCCGGGACGGCUUUUGAAACUGUGUUGCUAGAUUGCAGGAGAGGUAAGUGGAAUUCCUAGUGGAGCGGUGAAAUGCGUAGAUAUUAGGAGGAACACCAGUGGCGAAGGCGGCUUACUGGACUGUAAAUGACGCUGAGGCACGAAAGCGUGGGGAGCAAACAGGAUUAGAUACCCCGGUAGUC